GAUGAACGCUGGCGGCGUGCCUAAUACAUGCAAGUCGAGCGAACAGACGAGGAGCUUGCUCCUCUGACGUUAGCGGCGGACGGGUGAGUAACACGUGGAUAACCUACCUAUAAGACUGGGAUAACUUCGGGAAACCGGAGCUAAUACCGGAUAAUCUAUUGAACCGCAUGGUUCAAUAGUGAAAGACUGUUUUGCUGUCACUUAUAGAUGGCUCCGCGGCUCAUUAGCUAGUUGGUAAGGCAACGGCUUACCAAGGCAACGAUGCGUAGCCGACCUGAGAGGGUGAUCGGCCACACUGGAGCUGAGACACGGUCCAGACUCCUACGGGAGGCAGCAGUAGGGAAUCUUCCGCAAUGGGCGAAAGCCUGACGGAGCAACGCCGCGUGAGUGAUGAAGGUCUUCGGAUCGUAAAACUCUGUUAUUAGGGAAGAACAAAUGUGUACGUAACUAUGCACGUCUUGACGGUACCUAAUCAGAAAGCCACGGCUAACUACGUG
rnacentral:rRNA from 1 species